GCUACGUCCACGGAGUAGAUGAGUUCUCAUUAAUUGUGAAGAGUUUACACAAGUACAUAGGUUCAAGCUCUCCCUUAGUGAGUACAAGUGAAUGAUUUAGUACAAAUGACAUAGGUUCAAGCUCUCGUCUUCACUUGCCUUAUCUGUCUCAUAGGUAGAUGUGGCAUCUUCUCUGGAAGUACUCUUCCUCCAUCCAGGGGUGGUAUCUUUAACUGGUGGGGAUGCACAAGGUAAUGUAUCAAUUUCACUUGAAGCUUACUUGUAGUUUCAGGCUUGGUCAAGCGCGAUACAAACCAUGUAGUAGGAGUCCCCCAAGUCGCCGAGCUAGGGGAUCUGCUGAAAGAGGCGACAGAUAAGGUAAGCAAUCAGAGCU
rnacentral:lncRNA from 1 species